rnacentral:SRP_RNA from 1 species
CCGUGCUAAGCGGGGAGGUAGCGGUGCCCUGUACUCGCAAUCCGCUCUAGCGAGGCCGAAUCCCUUUCCGAGGUUACUCUUGGUGAGGUCUGCCGUAAGUAAAUAGUGUUGACGUUCGGGUCCCGCGCAAUGGGAAUCCGUGAACCCUGUCAGGUCCGGAAGGAAGCAGCAGUAAGCGGACACUCCCAUGUGCCGCGGGGUUGCCUGAACUGAGCUAGAUACUUACGUAACGCUCAUUGAAGGUAUAUCGACGAAAGGUGCACGG